rnacentral:rRNA from 1 species
AAGCUGUCGNCUAUGGGAUGGCCCCGCGGUGCAUUAGCUAGNUUGGUAAGGUAACGGCUUACCAAGGCGAUGAUGCAUAGCCGAGUUGAGAGACUGAUCGGCCACAUUGGGACUGAGACACGGCCCAAACUCCUACGGGAGGCAGCAGUAGGGAAUCUUCCACAAUGGACGCAAGUCUGAUGGAGCAACGCCGCGUGAGUGAAGAAGGUUUUCGGAUCGUAAAGCU